AUGAACGCUGGCGGCGUGCUUAACACAUGCAAGUCGAACGGUGAAGGCGGAGCUUGCUCUGCUGGAUCAGUGGCGAACGGGUGAGUAACACGUGAGCAAUCUGCCCCUGACUCUGGGAUAAGCGCUGGAAACGGCGUCUAAUACUGGAUACGAGCUGCGAAGGCAUCUUCAGCAGCUGGAAAGAAUUUCGGUCGGGGAUGAGCUCGCGGCCUAUCAGCUUGUUGGUGAGGUAAUGGCUCACCAAGGCGUCGACGGGUAGCCGGCCUGAGAGGGUGACCGGCCACACUGGGACUGAGACACGGCCCAGACUCCUACGGGAGGCAGCAGUGGGGAAUAUUGCACAAUGGGCGAAAGCCUGAUGCAGCAACGCCGCGUGAGGGACGACGGCCUUCGGGUUGUAAACCUCUUUUAGCAGGGAAGAAGCGAAAGUGACGGUACCUGCAGAAAAAGCGCCGGCUAACUACGUG
rnacentral:rRNA from 1 species